GCCGCACAUAGGUCGUUUGCUCCGCUCUUGUUCUUCCGUUCCUCGUGCUGCUUUCCAUCCGUCGGGGGUCGGUCUGGCAGCACGAUUGUGAAAUUGCCAUGGUUUUUAUGUUGUCAUCUGGAGAGUUACAUUGCCGAUCAAGCAAAAACUUCUACCAGGAGGCGUUGCUACUCCUGCGUGCUUCUAUUCAUGGUUGCCAAUCAAGACAAAAUAAGGACUGACGGAAGACAGAUGCCGAUCGGGUGCCCAGAAGAUUAUUGUCAGCUUUUCUUUAUGUGGUAGACAACCAGCAGCUCUUGUUUCUCAAACUAUAGAAUGGAUGCUGUAUAAUGUAGUAAUAUACACCAAGUUGGAUAUAUUUCGUGAGCUCCUCUCUCGUCAGGGUGUGCAUUUCGCUUCGCUAGCUGAUCCUCUCUCGUCUCCGGCCGGCGAGCCCGAAGCAGCAGGAGCCCCUACGUCGACCGUGAGUUGCUCUCAUAUACUCGCCUGCCCGCCCGCUGCUGCUGUAACCAGUCAAACCCCUUAAAUUUAAUGCAGUAUAAUUAAAUCACA